UACGUAGGGGGCAAGCGUUGUCCGGAAUCAUUGGGCGUAAAGAGCGUGUAGGCGGCUUGGCAAGUCUGACGUGAAAGCCCGCGGCUCAACCGCGGAUUGUCGUUGGAAACUGCCUCGCUAGAGUCCGGAAGAGGAGAGCGGAAUUCCUGGUGUAGCGGUGGAAUGCGCAGAUAUCAGGAAGAACACCCGUGGCGAAGGCGGCGUCGUCUGGGACGGUACUGACGCUGAGACGCGAAAGCGUGGGGAGCGAACAGG
rnacentral:rRNA from 1 species